CAGCAGUCGCCGCGGGAAUACGUAGGGUGCAAGCGUUAAUCGGAAUUACUGGGCGUAAAGCGUGCGCAGGCGGUCCGCUAAGACAGAUGUGAAAUCCCCGGGCUUAACCUGGGAACUGCAUUUGUGACUGGCGGGCUAGAGUAUGGCAGAGGGGGGUAGAAUUCCACGUGUAGCAGUGAAGUGCGUAGAGAUGUGGAGGAAUACCGAUGGCGAAGGCAGCCCCCUGGGCCAAUACUGACGCUCAUGCACGAAAGCGUGGGGAGCAAACAGGAUUAGAGACCCGAGUAGUCCCUGUCUCUUAUAC
rnacentral:rRNA from 1 species